ACUCUUCGGCCUUCAAAUUUCU
rnacentral:sRNA from 1 species